rnacentral:lncRNA from 1 species
UUAUCCUCUGAACUCCAGACAUGUUCCCAGUCAGUAAGUUAACACACAUACAUGCUGAUGGCCUAGGACAUUAGUUGGAGCAGGCAGGGAUUGGCAGUGUGGGAUACAUCAUAUAUGUAGCAAAAGCACAAAGAGAGGUGUACUCGGCUGGUUCACAGCAACAGUGACUUUUGUUCUAUGCCAGACACUGCAAUCUGGGUAGGAGAAACGGGACAGUGGGUGGAGUGAGGUGAAGGUCUUUACCUAGCAGCACCUGGAACAGCUGCCACCUGGAGCCCUGGAGGAUAUCACUAAGUUGAGUUCGAAGUUGGCCUGCAUGAGCCAGGGUGGGAAAAUGGGAAUCUUCAACUGUGGGGCACACUUAAAGACAGCACAAAGCAUGGCGCCUGCUUUCCUGAGUGCCUUGGAAUAACUGCCUUUGAUAUGGAGGCCUUAGGAAAGAAUGAAGUUAUAGAGGGGAUCCUGAAAGCUAGUCAUUGACCCACAGAGGUAGCCACCCUUGGUGUGAAAUACCAGGAAUGUCACCAGUGGCUAGGAAAAACAUUUCCAACCAAAAUAGUGAAAUACGAUUUCACAAUCCGUAGUCUUCCUGUGAAGGACCUUUCCCCUGUGAUCAGGAGGAUGCAAACACCCUUCCCAGCUCCCUGUAAUCUGAUGUCACUGCAGUCAUGAGACUAGGCAUGAGGUCAAAGACACGUGUGACUCAAGCUCUGUUCCAUGUAAUUUAAAGAAACGACCAAACCUUGACUUUCUUAGUCCCACUUGACACUAGAUCUGGGUUUUUUAAAGCUUUUUGUUGUUGAUAAUGUGUGUGUGUGUGGGGGGGGGAGGUUCAUGCUAAUGAGUCCAGGUAAUGUGGAGUCCAGAGAGGGUGCCAGCUCCCCUGAGCUGGAAUUACAGGUGCUUCCAAGUCACCACAUAGGUUCUAGAACUGGACUUGAUUCUCUGGAAGAACAUCAAGUGCUCUUACUCAGUGAGCCAUCUCUCCAAUCCCCUAGGCCUUCCUCCUUCCUCCCUGUCUCCCUCCUGCCCCCCUCCCUCCCUCUUUUUUCCUUCCUUCCUCCCUCCCUCCCUCCCUCCCUCCCUCCCUUCCUUCCUUCCUUCCUUCCUUCCUUCCUUCCUUCCUUUUUUUGAGAUAGGGUUUCUCUGUAUAGCUCUGGCUGUCUUAAAAUUUGUUCUGUAGACCAGGCUGGCCUGGACCUCACAGAGGUCUCUCCGCCUGUCUCUCUGCCUCCUGAGUGCUGAAUUAAAGGCACAGGCCACCACACAGGGCAUCACUACUUCAAGUUUAACAUUGUGUUUAGAACAAAUAGUCUCUAAGAUCUUUUCCAAGUUUUGUCUUUGUCUUACUGUUCUGUUGCUGUGAAGAGACACCAUGAUCAAGGUAACUUAUAAAAGAAAACAUUUAAUUGGGGAUUCACACUUUCAGAGGGUGAGUUCAUGACCAUCAUGGUGGGGAACAUGGCAGCAGGCAGACAGUAUGACACUGGAGCAGUAGCUGAGAGCUUUCAUUUGAUCUAUAAGCAGGAGACAGAGACAGAGAAAGACAGAGAGACAGAGACAAAGAAUGAGAUUUCAAAAGCAUAAGAAGGGAACAGCUAUGAGCAUAGUGUUCUACACUAGGGUGUUAUUUCUUCAGGAUAAAUAGCAAAGAGAAGAUGUUUAUUAAGUCUGGAGGUCACAGCUGUAGACAGUAGAGGAUUUCGGGGAGCUGCUAUCAUCUACGGCAGCCCAGGGUUCCAGUUUAAGGCAGGAAUUGUACAUCUCUGAUUAGAACUUUGCUAAUAAGAGCUGACAAGAUGGCUCAGCGCCUAAGAGCACUGACUGCUCUUCCGAAGGUCCUGAGUUCAAAUCCCAGCAACCUCAUGGUGGCGCACAACCAUUCGUAAUGAGAUCUGACUUCCUCUUCUGAAGUGUCUGAAGACAGGUCUAUUUACUUAUGUAUAAUAAAUAAAUAGACCUUAAAAAAAAAGAAGUUUGCUAAUAGAUACAAAAUUUCAGGAAAACCUGUGGGCUUGGAAAUUGUGGGGAUGGUGCAGCAUUUGGCCAAGAGUGGCAAAAGAUCCUGUUAUCCUCAUGUCUGGGUAAGGGACGCACUCGCAGCUUCUGUCUAGAAAUUAGAAGCAAUCCAGUGAAGGGCUGGUCAGAGUCACAGUCUACACCACUCUGCCUGCUCUGACUUGGUAGCUAGCUCUUCUAAGUUCUCUACAUUGCUUUGGAAGUUUUAGCCUAUAAACUCAGGAGGAAGAUCUAAGAAAAAGCCCUCCAUCCAGAAACAAAGCCAACUCAGUCGUAGGUACUCCAGCAUCUGCAUUCAUCUCCUUGUUUCUGUUCUCCACCAGUUUGUAUUAUGGCUGAGCUAUAUGGUAAGCACUGUGGAUAUAAAGGUGAUUUCUUCCACCCUCAUUGUUAGGCUCAGGUGUCAGGUUGUGGACAAGAUACAGGGAGCACCGUACACACAAGCCACAAUUCCCAAGAGGUCUCCAUUCCUUUAGUAGGGACAGAAACCAGGAAGAAUUCUUGCCUUAUUUAUGAUAUGGAACUUCCUGAUUCUAUGGCUUUUUUCUUUCUCCUUUGAGUGUACAACAAAAUAUUUCACAAUAGUCAGCCACAGUGUAGAGACCAGAACUCUUUCUCCCUCUGUUGAUGGGUUUCUCCUAGCUUCUCCAUGUAUCAUGGAGGAAACAGAACCAGAAAAGGACCAUAAGAGGCAAGACAUGUCACACACAGCCCAGUUCUCCAUCCCUCUGGCCACCACCACUUUACCCUAAACAUUUGUUUUCUCCUUAAAAAUUGCUUCUUGAGGGAUAGUGAGAUGGUACACUGGGAAAGACAUUUGUCCCCAGUGUCCCUGACAGUGUCAGCCCCCCUGGGUCCCACAUGGUAGAAGGAGAGAACCAACUCCCUCCUCUUCCAUGAUGGUGAGGAGCUAAUAUACCUUCUCUGCUGUUACGGGAACUGCGCAUUGGUGUUUGGGAGCCUCUGACAGUGCUCCAGCUCCUGGAAAGUCGUGAGGACCAGGAGGAGGCUAGUAGAGUGACACAUUGUCUUAGUCUCACGAAGAACACACUUAACGGGAAAUGACCUAAGCUUACCGUAUCUGCUAGUAAUCCUGUGAUGCCGUCCCCAGCACAAAGCAUGUGACUGCUCGUCAGCCCAUCACACAAGCAAAGGAAAUUGGAUUGUGCUCAGAAAAAAUGAGGCUGUAAUCGUUCUGAUCCAAUAAUGUGGCCCUGCAGGGUGGCAUCAUCAGCCCUGAGACCCAGGGAGGAGGAGGAGGGGGAGGAGGGAGAGUGAGCACUCUGAGAGCUGCUGCCCAGCUCUCCAGACACUCUAGCCAAUGAAAAAUUCAUGAGGCAGUGCUUUAUAGCCAGUGUCUAAUACCACUGCUGGGUCACAAGCUGAUCCGAGCCAAUCAAUAGACUUCAUCAUCAUGAAGGGAACUAGCGGUGGAGUGUUUAUGAGAACUGAGGGCGGUUUCAAGCCAAGACCAGUUUCUGGUUACUAAAUUUGUAUCACCUUUAAAAGUACAGAGCUUACUUUGAAAACGGACUUGAAGAAAAGAAAUCUUACCUAGAUUUCAAAAGUCUUUCAAACAGUAAGAGGGGAGGAUAAGAGGUGCUUUGUCAUGACCAAUCAAAAAAGCCAGCCCAAGGAUUACUCUUAAAAUAGAAACUCCUUUGUUUGGGUCUUUGGUUUUUUGUUUUGUUUUGUUUUGUUUUGUUUUGUUUUUUGUCUUUUUAAUGUGACUUUCUUUUACCAAGUCUAAAAUUUUAAAACAAUGGCUCAUGUUCAGUUCCUUCCCAGACACAACUGGAAAUACAUGCAAAUGAAAAUAUAUUUAAAAAUUAUAUCAGAGCCCUAGGUCAUGUCAUUGCGUCCCAGGUUUGAAGGUAAAAGCCUUUAAGACCAUAGAAAUGUUGACUUGGGUCUCAGGGCUGCUUCUGCACAGGCAGAGCUUCAAGGCAAAGCUGUGGUAGAAAGCAGAAGGGGUUCAGGAGGCUGUUCAGGACUUGAGAGGUGCUAGGGUCCUGGUGGGUGGGAAAAUGUUGUGAAGACAGGGCUGCAGUGUGUAUGUUCCCCAUGUCCUGGGUGUGGCUAAAGUAGGGCCCUCCCGAGGUCUUCCAAGCACAUUCCACUAGGUGUCUUCUCUUCCAUGCACACCAAAGUUGUUUGAAGCCAACCUCAGGAGCACACAGAUGGGGAGUCUUGGAAAUUCACCUGUGAGGCAGAGCAGGAUGAGUUCUGUCCUGUCCCUGAUGAUGGUGUCAGGAAAGAGGCUGACGCCUUGCAUCUUUGUAAGCAAGUAAGAUUUCUUUCCAUGGCUAUAAAAGACAAGAUUUCUGUGUUGGCAAACUAAGAGAGUCAGAAAAAUAAAAGAAAAUAAAAGUCAUAAGAUUAAUGUCCAUAAAAGCCACUCAACAAAGUGGUUCAUUCGUCCAACUCUAACAAAUAAACAACAUGUAGAUGAACGUGCCGCAUGCACACAUGUCCAAACACUCAUGUAUGUGCCAGACUAAGCUGGAGUGUGAAUGGUUCUGUAUCUCGGGCUCUUACAGGGUCUUAUCUUGACAUCAUGUUUGCAUAUUAAAGUGGUCAGAGAUACACCACUCACCAAUGAGAACUCUAUUAGACAGGUCCUUCUGUGCAUCUAUCACAAAGUCCUGCGCUUUCAAACCCGGAGGCCUAUAGCCCUGGCCCCCUGGUCACCAUCAUUGUUUCUGAAUACUUGCUUGUUUAGUUGCAUUACCCCUAUGCUAAAGCCUGCCCUGUUCAUCCUUGGACUAAACCAUUCUUGGGAAGUAGAGCAUUAGAGUCAGGGAAAGUUCAGGUUUGUGGAGCUGCACGCCCUGGAAAGCUGCUGAUGUAAUCUUAGAACAUCACCCGCAAUGCGUGGUUAAUACUCCUUGCCUGGAGUCCCAUUAGCCAAGAAGGCCAGAAGAAUCUGCAGGUUGUUUCCCCUACUCUGCUCUUACUUGGUUUUCUGUUUUCUUCAGAGCAGGGUAGCGAUUAGGAGCUUGAGUGAGCAUAGGCAAAUGGCCUCCUAUCUCUGUGCCUCAGUUUUUUUUAUCUGGAUUAUGGGUCUAAAACAGUACUUAAGCUAUGUCACAGGCAUCUAGAGAAGAUUAAGUCAAGGGGUGGACAUGAGGUACUUGUGUCUGCUCUUUUUAGUCUAAGGAGUGCUUAUUGAGAAAUGUGAGAUUCCCCCCAGGAUAUUACAGAGCAUUGUCCUCUGUACACUGUUUCUUGGAAGUCUCUGCUAACUUUUGGAGCAACCUAAUGCAUGACCCAUCCUCACUGCCUCCCGUAUCCUGCAGAGGCCUCUGGUGACCAGGACUUCCCCCAGAGUCCCUGCUUGUUCCCUAGAAUGGAGAAGCCCUUCUGGGCCCUGGCCCAAAGAGGAGAAAACCCGUUCUUAACUGUGGUUUAAUACCCAGACUCAAGACCGCAAGGAAAUCCUAGUUCUCAGAAGGUGGUCUGAAGAGGGUCACUACAGGAUGGCCUCAGCAGCCUCUUCUGUACCCGGGCCUCAUCUGCUGCUGCAUGUGUAUGGGAUGUCUCUUUCUGACAGGAAGGUGAUAUUGUUCUGGCUUUGAUGCACCAGACAGGAUCACAAUGGGAGGGCAGUUCUCACUUGGACAUGCCUUCCCUACCACACUGUAGUCUAAUGGUUAUCAACUGUCCCCUGAUCAUCCCAGCCGGUAACUCAGAGGUAGAAGACCCAGAACUGUUGUUACAGUGAGCCCUGUAGGAGUUUCUGUUGCCCUCGGGGAGAAAGGAAAUGAGAGGGAAGGUGGGAAGUAUGCCUGUUUUUCUGAGGACUGGCUACAUUCUUGCCAUGACCACCCUGUCCCCCCCUUCCCCCCUCUCUUUCUGAGACAGGGUCUCUCUGUGUAGCCCUGGCUGUCCUGAAAGCACUUUAUAGACCAGGCUGGUCUUGAACUCAGAAAUCCACCUGCCUCUGUCUCCUGAGUGCUGAUAUUAAAGGCGUAUGUCACUACACCUGGCUAACUUCCCUGAAUUCUUGUACUAAUUAUUAUUUACUUGAAGUGGCUUCAGAUAGCUGAAUCAAAGAAUAAUAAAGUAGAAUCUUUAAAAAUUUCUUCUUUGUUUUCUCUGAGAUAAGGUUUGCUGUGAAGCCCAGGGCAACCUCAAACUCAAGAGAACACCCUUGCUUCUAUCUCUUGACUGCUGGGAUUGCAGGUCACAGCACCGCAACCUACUCCAGCUCACUUCCUCCCAGGCAUCCGGUCAAGUCACAACCUGUAGCCUGUUCUUAAGGCGUAGACAUGAACAAGUGGCUCCCAGUCCAUCUCUGCAUUCAUAAAUUGAAGAGGAUGACAUGUUCCCAAGAGAGCCCCCUGGGAUCCUCAGGAGCCCUCCAUCUUAUGGCUCCCCAAAGGAGAAACAGAAUUACCUCGUCACUUCCUGGUAUCUGGUCUGCCCCCAGAAGACCAGGAGCCACCUCCAGAUACCACUGAUACAUGGACUUGGGAUUAAGUUUUCCAACACAUUUUCCUCUGGGGUGGCGGGACAUUCAGACCAUGGCCAUCUCCUUCUGUCGCUGCAUGGAAUGAAGAGCCUUCACUUCACAGACAUGGAAGAGAAUAGAACAAAAGAUUCCACAGAUCAACUCAGGGUGGUGUCAACAAGAGACAGCAAUGAGGCGGAACACCCGGGUCGCCGCUAACUCUAGCUCUCAGGCUGUGCUGGCCACUGGCUUUCCCUACCAGAGGACGGUUUUGACGGGCAGACACAGUCACUGCACUAGUGGGUGCUCACCGUGACAGAUCAAGACAACUGUGUGGUAUGCACUCCGGGUUUCAGUCUUCCCGGACAUCUAACCAACCUGGGUUUUCUGGGCCAUGGGGACCCAGGCCAUUUUCUAUGCUGACCCCUGCCUGCGCUUUUGUCCCCUACAGAGCUGGUCUGAAGCACAGUCCUCUUCCCCGUGCAUGAAGACCAAGAAGGGUGAUCAUAGAACCGGUUCAGUGGGUGAGAUGUUUAUCUGUAAACACUACAAAGAACAGGGCCCAGAAGGCUUUUCGGGGGAGCCACAAUCAGUUUCUCAGUCUCUGCUGUGUGUUGUGUGUAUUUGUGUGUGUUGUAUAUGUGUCACAUGCAUAUACACAUAGACAUGCUACAUGGAUACAUUAUCAGAUUUUAGUUUUAUGUAUAUAUGUACAAUAUAUGUGCAGUGCCCAAGAAAGCCAGAAGGGGGUGUUUGUGAGCUGCCAUGUAGGUUUUGAGACUCAAACCUGAUUCUCUUAACCACCCUCUUGAGCCCCA